AUUGAACGCUGGCGGCAGGCCUAACACAUGCAAGUCGAACGAGUGGCGGACGGGUGAGUCAUGUCUGGGAAACUGCCCGAUGUAGGGGGAUAACUACUGGAAACGGUAGCUAAUACCGCAUACCAUCGGAUGUGCCCAGAUGGGAUUAGCUAGUAGGUAGGGUAAUGGCUCACCUCGGCGACGAUCCCUAGCUGGUCUGAGGGGAUGACCGGCCCGACUGUAACUGAUACACGGGCCAUACUCCUACGGAAGGCAGCAGUGGGGAAUAUUGCACAAUGGGCGCAAGCCUGAUGCAGCCAUGCCGCGUGUAUGAAGAAUGCCUUCGGGUUGUAAAGUACUUUCAGCGAGGAGGCGUUACUCGCAGAAGAAGCACCGGCUAACUCCGUGCCAGCAGCCGCGGUAAUAC
rnacentral:rRNA from 1 species